UGUUGGUGGGUGGUGUAGGAGGGGGUUGCUUAAAUUAUAAGACCCUAUUUUUGGCAUAAUGGUUAAUUACUGAAUGACAUAUUUUAAAGAAUUUAAGUAUACAAUUAGAAUGUGUUAUAAAAUAGAAGGCAUGUACCACACGAUACAAUACAUCCUAUUAACAGUGAGUUUACUGUAUUUCUAGUGUGACAUUUUGUUUGUUAGCAACCACUGAAGAAGAUAUUGUACAGGGCUUAGAUUCUCUGCAUACAAAAUGAGCUCUUUAAGAUGUGGUUUUCUGUAACAGGAUGGAUUGACAUAAAAUUAAGGGUUGGGCUUUUUUUGUGAAUAUUUACUGGAUGUUUCAGUGAAAUAAAGCAGAAGUUGCCCGCAUGGUCUUUAUUAACGGUGAUCUCACUAAGAAGAGUCUAUAUUUUCGUGUGCCUGCAAAAGGAUAUCUCUGCCCAUCAUGCAACGUUACCUUCUCUAUGCUGUGGUUCUUAUUUUCUACGUUUCAGUGGUCUUGACAAAUGAUCAUCCGAUUUUGGACCAUAAUGAAAACAAAGAUAAUUCUACAGGUCCACAUAACAACGGUGAGGCUCCUGGAUCCCAAGCCUCACUGCUGGCAUUCUUGACUUUUUGCAUCUUCUACUACAUGUUGAGCAAUUAAUACUUUGGCAUGAAAAGAGAAAAGCAUGACCUUUGCUUAUCCUGAGGGCGGAGAACGAAGGGAAGAUGACAUAAUGGCCUAUUACUGAUAAUUUACAGGAAUGGUCGUUAUUUCAAUGCUGGAUAAAAACAUAAAAACAUAAAUAGACCCUAAUAUAAUUUUACUUGCUAAUGCUCAUAAGCAUAUUUUCUAAAUAAAUAUUUUUACCACCA